rfam:Bifidobacterium magnum strain LMG 11591 Contig01, whole genome shotgun sequence.
UUUGUGGAGGGUUCGAUUCUGGCUCAGGAUGAACGCUGGCGGCGUGCUUAACACAUGCAAGUCGAACGGGAUCCGGCCAAGCUUGCUUGGCCGGUGAGAGUGGCGAACGGGUGAGUAAUGCGUGACCGACCUGCCCCGUGCUUGGGAAUAGCUCCUGGAAACGGGUGGUAAUGCCCAAUGCUCCGCCCGGCCUCAUGGCCGGUCGGGAAAGCUUUGGCGGCACGGGAUGGGGUCGCGUCCUAUCAGCUUGUUGGUAAGGUAACGGCUUACCAAGGCUUCGACGGGUAGCCGGCCUGAGAGGGCGACCGGCCACAUUGGGACUGAGAUACGGCCCAGACUCCUACGGGAGGCAGCAGUGGGGAAUAUUGCACAAUGGGCGCAAGCCUGAUGCAGCGACGCCGCGUGCGGGAUGGAGGCCUUCGGGUUGUAAACCGCUUUUGUUCACGAGCAAGGCAUUCUUUUUGGGUGUUGAGUGUAGUGUUCGAAUAAGCACCGGCUAACUACGUGCCAGCAGCCGCGGUAAUACGUAGGGUGCAAGCGUUAUCCGGAUUUAUUGGGCGUAAAGGGCUCGUAGGCGGUUCGUCGCGUCUGGUGUGAAAGUCCGCCGCUUAACGGCGGAUUUGCGCUGGAUACGGGCGGGCUUGAGUGUGGUAGGGGAGAACGGAAUUCCCGGUGUAACGGUGGAAUGUGUAGAUAUCGGGAAGAACACCGAUGGCGAAGGCAGUUCUCUGGGCCAUUACUGACGCUGAGGAGCGAAAGCGUGGGGAGCGAACAGGAUUAGAUACCCUGGUAGUCCACGCCGUAAACGGUGGAUGCUGGAUGUGGGGCCCUUUUUCCGGGUUCCGUGUCGGAGCUAACGCGUUAAGCAUCCCGCCUGGGGAGUACGGCCGCAAGGCUAAAACUCAAAGAAAUUGACGGGGGCCCGCACAAGCGGCGGAGCAUGCGGAUUAAUUCGAUGCAACGCGAAGAACCUUACCUGGGCUUGACAUGUUCCGGAUCGCCCCAGAGAUGGGGCUUCCCUUCGGGGCCGGUUCACAGGUGGUGCAUGGUCGUCGUCAGCUCGUGUCGUGAGAUGUUGGGUUAAGUCCCGCAACGAGCGCAACCCUCGCCGCGUGUUGCCAGCACAUUAUGGUGGGAACUCACGUGGGACCGCCGGGGUUAACUCGGAGGAAGGUGGGGAUGACGUCAGAUCAUCAUGCCCCUUACGUCCAGGGCUUCACGCAUGCUACAAUGGCCGGUACAACGGGAUGCGACACCGCGAGGUGGGGCGGAUCCCUGAAAACCGGUCUCAGUUCGGAUCGCAGUCUGCAACUCGACUGCGUGAAGGUGGAGUCGCUAGUAAUCGCGGAUCAGCAACGCCGCGGUGAAUGCGUUCCCGGGCCUUGUACACACCGCCCGUCAAGUCAUGAAGUGGGCAGCACCCGAAGCCGGUGGCCUAUCCUUUGUGGGGGGAGCCGUCUAAGGUGAGGCUCGUGAUUGGGACUAAGUCGUAACAAGGUAGCCGUACCGGAAGGUGCGGCUGGAUCACCUCCUUU